GUAUAAAAUGUGGUGAGUUGUUGACUUAGAGAGAGACAGUAGUUGAACAGUUUAGAACAAAUGAAUUUCUUCCAAAAUGAAGGAGAAGCAAUAGAGAAAUAGAGAGUGACAUUGUUUCAGUGUCACUGCAAUGCAGCUUUCUAGUUUAGCCUACUGAAACACCCUACUCAGAGGGAUGUUAUGUUAGCUAGCUGGCUAUGACUUUCCAGCACAACAUGGAAGUCUUCCAAGGGACCCACUGGUGUAACUGCUGACUGACUGUACACUAACAUUACUGCAUGAUUGUAGCGGGUUUACUAACGCGUUAGUUCUAUUAGCUAUGCUGACUGACGUUACUUUAGAUAAUAUCGUGACAACGAUGUACGCUGACUAUAGCGGCAACUGCACACAGCCAUUGAAGAGGAGUGGGACAACAUUACACAGGCCACAAUCAACACUCUGGUCAUCUCUUCGCGAAGGAGAUUUGUCACGCUGCAUGAGGCAAAUGGUGGUCACAUGGCUUUGAGAUUGCAUGCGUUCUACAAGCUUUGGACGAAGAACUUCCACAGGGCCGCCAUCUACAAAGUUCACUCAAAAAGGCAAUAGUUCUUAACUUAGUUUGCUUUUGUUUUAAUUAUUUACAUAUUGUUAAUUAUCUUUAAAAGUUCCAUUGGUUGAAAGCUAUUGCUCAGUUAUCACUUGGCUCAUGUAAAUUAUGUUUUUGGCAAAACAAGCAGGACCGCGUCAUGUGUCAGAAGCAAUGCAUGUUAGCAAUCUUAUGUUAGCUGGAUAACUUAUUAUUAAGCAAUUACAGUGGAUACUUAAUGAAUAGGAUUGUCAAUAAACUAAUUCUCAACAUC